UCUCCGGUAGCUCAGCUGGUUAGAGCGCCGUGCUUAUAUUUGAAUGAUCUUCAUAUGCCACGCGGAUGUCGAGAGUUCGAUCCUCUCCCGGAGAA